UUGACAUCUUUUUCUCCUCAGGCUGAACUGCUGUCUGCCGUGACGAGUGACUUCGAUUUCACUGUGUAAAGAAAAAGACCCAGCAGAAGCUGACUCAUAUGACAAUUAUCGUUUGUUGGAGGUGAUGGGAAGGAUUAACUGAGUUGGAAAUAUCCCACAUCAGGGAAUCUUCCUGGGAAGACACAUUAAGAAAAUGCAGUGCUGAGGAAGAUCCUGGCCUCUGAGUAUAUAAUGGAGUAAAAUUCUUCUCCUUCUUGAAUAUGUCUGCCUUAGUGACUUGUUUAUGAGGAGUAUAAUGUGGCAGGGUGCUACUGGGAUUGUUCUGCAAAAGCAGCGCGGCUUCUGCUCGGCUCCUUAUCCUCAGGAGAACGUACCUCCCCGGGAGUCCUGACGUGUGAGAGGCCUGCCUAUCCAGAAGCAGCCAUG